rnacentral:rRNA from 1 species
CCUACGGGCUGCAGCAGUGAGGAAUAUUGGUCAAUGGUCGGGAGACUGAACCAGCCAAGCCGCGUGAGGGAUUAAGGUACAGCGUAUCGUAAACCUCUUUUGUCAGGGAACAAGGGCCGGGACGCGUCCCCGGCUGCUUGUACCUUACGAACAAGCAUCGGCUAACUCCGUGACCGCAGCCGCGGUAAUACGGAGGAUGCGCGCGUUAUCCGGAUUUAUGGGGUUUUAAGGGUGCGCAGGGGGUCUUUUAAGUCAGCGGUAAAAGCCCGGGGCUCAACCCCGGCCCGCCGUUGACACUGGGAGCAUCGAGUGGGAGAGAAGAAGGCGGAAUGCGCGGUGUAGCGGGGAAAUGCAUAGAUAGCGCGCAGAACUCCGAUUGCGAAGGCAGCAUGCCGGCUCCAGACUGACGCUGAGGCACGAAAGCGGGGGUAUCGAACAGGAUUAGAUACCCCAGUAGUC